rnacentral:rRNA from 1 species
GACGAACGCUGGCGGCGUGCUUAACACAUGCAAGUCGAACGGAAAGGCCCUGCUCUUGGGGGGUGCGCGAGUGGCGAACGGGUGAGUAACACGCGAGUAACCUGCCCUUGACUUUGGGAUAACUUCUGGAAACUGUGGCUAAUACCCGGUAGGAGCUCCUGCUGCAUGGUGUGGGUUGGAAAGUUUCGGCGGUUGGGUGUGGGCUCGCGGCGUAUCAGUUUGUUUGGGGGGUAGUGGCUUACCAUGGCUUUGAGGGGGAGCCGGCCUGAGCGGGUGACGGGCCACAUUGGAGCUGAGAUACGGCCCAGGCUCCUACGGGAGUCAGCAGUGGGGAAUAUUGCACAAGGGGCGGAAGCGUGAUGCAGAAACGCCGCGUGCGGGAGUACGGCCUUCGGGUUAUAAACCGCUUUCGCCUGUGACGAAGCGUGAGUGACGGUAAUGGGUAAAGAAGCACCGGCUAACUACGUG